CGUGCUUAACACAUGCAAGGUCGAACGAGACGAUUGAAAGCUUGGCUUUUGAAAGUCGAGUGGCAAACGGGUGAGUAACGCGUAGGCAACCUGCCUUGAGAUGGGGACAACAGUCCGAAAGGACUGCUAAUACCGAAUGUUGUGGAACUUCCGCAUGGAGGCUCCACCAAAGAUGACCUCUUCCUGAAAGUUAUCGCUCAAAGAUGGGCCUGCGUCUGAUUAGCUAGUUGGUGGGGCAACGGCCUACCAAGGCGAUGAUCAGUAGCCGGUCUGAGAGGAUGAACGGCCACAUUGGGACUGAGACACGGCCCAGACUCCUACGGGAGGCAGCAGUGGGGAAUCUUCCGCAAUGGGCGAAAGCCUGACGGAGCAAUGCCGCGUGAGUGAUGAAGGAAUUCGUUCCGUAAAGCUCUUUUGUUUAUGACGAAUGUGCAGAUUGUAAAUAAUGAUCUGUAAUGACGGUAGUAAACGAAUAAGCCACGGCUAACUACGUG
rnacentral:rRNA from 1 species